rnacentral:rRNA from 1 species
GUCGAACGCUUCUUUUUCCACCGGAGCUUGCUCCACCGGAAAAAGAGGAGUGGCGAACGGGUGAGUAACACGUGGGUAACCUGCCCAUCAGAAGGGGAUAACACUUGGAAACAGGUGCUAAUACCGUAUAACAAUCGAAACCGCAUGGUUUUGAUUUGAAAGGCGCUUUCGGGUGUCGCUGAUGGAUGGACCCGCGGUGCAUUAGCUAGUUGGUGAGGUAACGGCUCACCAAGGCCACGAUGCAUAGCCGACCUGAGAGGGUGAUCGGCCACAUUGGGACUGAGACACGGCCCAAACUCCUACGGGAGGCAGCAGUAGGGAAUCUUCGGCAAUGGACGAAAGUCUGACCGAGCAACGCCGCGUGAGUGAAGAAGGUUUUCGGAUCGUAAAACUCUGUUGUUAGAGAAGAACAAGGAUGAGAGUAACUGUUCAUCCCUUGACGGUAUCUAACCAGAAAGCCACGGCUAACUACGUGCCAGCAGCCGCGGUAAUACGUAGGUGGCAAGCGUUGUCCGGAUUUAUUGGGCGUAAAGCGAGCGCAGGCGGUUUCUUAAGUCUGAUGUGAAAGCCCCCGGCUCAACCGGGGAGGGUCAUUGGAAACUGGGAGACUUGAGUGCAGAAGAGGAGAGUGGAAUUCCAUGUGUAGCGGUGAAAUGCGUAGAUAUAUGGAGGAACACCAGUGGCGAA